UGCCAGCCGCCGCGGUAAUACUGAAGGUGCAAGCGUUAAUCGGAAUCACUGGGCGUAAAGCGCACGUAGGCGGACUAUUAAGUCAGAGGUGAAAGCCCACGGCUCAACCGUGGAAUUGCAUUUGAUACUGCAUCGCUAGAGUAUAGGAGAGGGAAGUGGAAUUUCUGGUGUAGGAGUGUAAUCCGUAGAGAUCAGAAGGAACACCGGUGGCGAAGGCGACUUCCUGGACUAUUACUGACACUGAGGAGCGAAAGCGUGGGGAGCAAACAGGAUUAGAUA
rnacentral:rRNA from 1 species